UACGUAGGGGGCAAACGUUGUCCGGAUUUACUGGGUGUAAAGGGUGCUCAGGCGGUUUUGUAAGUCAGAAGUGAAAUCCUAGGGCUUAACUCUGGAACUGCUUUUGAUACUGCAAGGCUUGAAUGUGGAAGAGGAGGAUGGAAUUUCUGGUGUAGCAGUGAAAUGCGUAGAUAUCAGAAAGAACACCAGUGGCGAAGGCGGUCCUCUGGUCCACUAUUGACGCUAAAGCACGAAAGCGUGGGGAGCAAACAGGAUUAGAUACCCUGGUAGUCCACGCCUUAAACGAUGAAUACUAGACGUUGGGGUUAAACUCAGUGUCGCAGCUAACGCAUUAAGUAUUCCACCUGGGGAGUACGAUCGCAAGGUUGAA
rnacentral:rRNA from 1 species